GGAGUUGUAGCUCAGUGGUAGAGCGCUCAUCUGGCAUGUGUGAGGCCCUGAGUUCUAUUCUCAGCACCA
rnacentral:tRNA from 1 species